CCUACGGGUGGCAGCAGUGAGGAAUAUUGGUCCAUGGACGCAAGUCUGAACCCGCCAAGCCGCGUGCAGGAUGACGGCACUAUGAGUUUUAACCUGCUUUUGUACGAGGGUAAACGCCGAUACGUGUAUCGGGUUGAAAGUAUCUUAAGAAUAAGGAUCGGCUAACUCCGUGCCAGGAGCCGCGGUAAUACGGAGGAUCCGCGCGUUAUCCGGAUUUAUUGGGUUUAAGGGGUGCGUAGGCGGGUUGAUAAGUUAGAGGUGAACUGUCGGGGCUCAACCCCGAAACGGCCUCUAAUACUGUUGGACUAGAGAAUAGUUGCGGUAGGCGGAAUGUAUGGUGUAGCGGUGAAAUGCUUAGAGAUCAUACAGAACACCGAUUGCGAAGGCAGCUUACCAAACUCUAUCUGACGUUGAGGCACGAAAGCGUGGGUAGCAAACAGGAUUAGAUACCCCGGUAGUC
rnacentral:rRNA from 1 species